rnacentral:rRNA from 1 species
CAACAGGGAUUGCCUCAGUAACGGCGAGUGAAGCGGCAACAGCUCAAAUUUGAAAUCUGAAGUUUACUUCCGAGUUGUAAUUUGAAGAGGAUGCUUCGGUUGUAGCUCCGGCCUAAGUUCCUUGGAACAGGACGUCGCAGAGGGUGAGAAUCCCGUACGCGGCUGGCGGCUUACUUCCAUGUGUAGCUCCUUCGAAGAGUCGAGUUGUUUGGGAAUGCAGCUCUAAAUGGGUGGUAAAUUUCAUCUAAAGCUAAAUACUGGCGAGAGACCGAUAGCGCACAAGUAGAGUGAUCGAAAGAUGAAAAGCACUUUGAAAAGAGAGUUAAACAGUACGUGAAAUUGUUGAAAGGGAAGCGCUUGCAAUCAGACUUGCUUUCUGUUGAUCAACGUUCCUUUUGGUUCGUGCACUCUGCAGUUUGCAGGCCAGCAUCAGUUGCGGCGGUGGGACAAAGACUCAGGGAAUGUGGCUACCUUCGGGUAGUGUUAUAGCCCUGUGUGUAAUGCCACCUGCCGCGAUUGAGGACCGCGCUUCGGCUAGGAUGCUGGCUUAAUGGUUGUAAGCGACCCGUCUUGAAACACGGACCAAGGAGUCUAACAUCUAUGCGAGUGUUUGGGUGUUAAACCCAUACGCGUAAUGAAAGUGAACGGAGGUGGGAGUCUUCGGAUGCACCAUCGACCGAUCCUGAUGUUCUCGGAUGGAUUUGAGUAUGAGCAUAGCUGUUGGGACCCGAAAGAUGGUGAACUAUGCCUGAAUAGGGUGAAGCCAGAGGAAACUCUGGUGGAGGCUCGCAGCGGUUCUGACGUGCAAAUCGAUCGUCAAAUUUGGGUAUAGGGGCGAAAGACUAAUCGAA